CCAGGUGGCUGGACGGCCGCUGGCCGGGGAGCGAUCCCCGGCUGGAGGAAAGUCCGGGCUCCACGGGAAUACGGUGCCGGCCAACGGCCGGCGGGCAGAGGGUCGCCGCAAGCGGCCCGAGGCUCAGGGACAGUGCCACAGAGAGCAGACCGCCCGCCCACGCUUCGGCGUCGGCAGGCAAGGGUGAAAGGGUGCGGCAAGAGCGCACCGCGCCCCCGGCAACGGGGGCGGCAUGGCAAACCCCACCGGGAGCAAGGCCGAAUAGGGGUGGCCGGCGGCGCGCCUUCGGGCGCGUGACGCAAGGGCGUUCCCGCCCCGCCACCCGGGUUGGCCGCGUGAGGCGCGCCGCGAGGCGCGUCCCAGAGGAAUGGUCGUCCCAUCCCCGGGUUUCCGGGGGUGGACAGAACCCGGCUUACAGGCCGCCUGGCGCC
rnacentral:RNase_P_RNA from 1 species